rnacentral:rRNA from 1 species
GCAAGUCGAGCGCGCCCUUCGGGGUGAGCGGCGGACGGGUGAGUAACGCGUGGGAACGUGCCCUUUGCUGCGGAAUAGCCACUGGAAACGGUGAGUAAUACCGCAUGAGCCCUUCGGGGGAAAGAUUUAUCGGCAAGGGAUCGGCCCGCGUUGGAUUAGGUAGUUGGUGGGGUAAUGGCCUACCAAGCCGACGAUCCAUAGCUGGUUUCAGAGGAUGAUCAGCCACACUGGGACUGAGACACGGCCCAGACUCCUACGGGAGGCAGCAGUGGGGAAUCUUAGACAAUGGGCGCAAGCCUGAUCUAGCCAUGCCGCGUGAGUGACGAAGGCCCUAGGGUCGUAAAGCUCUUUCGCCUGUGAAGAUAAUGACGGUAGCAGGUAAAGAAACCCCGGCUAACUCCGUGCCAGCAGCCGCGGUAAUACGGAGGGGGUUAGCGUUGUUCGGAAUUACUGGGCGUAAAGCGCGCGUAGGCGGACCAUCAAGUUGGGGGUGAAAUCCCGGGGCUCAACCCCGGAACUGCCUCCAAAACUGGCGGUCUGGAGUUCGAGAGAGGUGAGUGGAAUUCCGAGUGUAGAGGUGAAAUUCGUAGAUAUUCGGAGGAACACCAGUGGCGAAGGCGGCUCACUGGCUCGAGACUGACGCUGAGGUGCGAAAGUGUGGGGAGCAAACAGGAUUAGAUACCCUGGGUAGUCCACACCGUAAACGAUGAAUGCCAGUCGUCGGCAAGCAUGCUUGUCGGUGACACACCUAACGGAUUAAGCAUUCCGCCUGGGGAGUACGGCCGCAAGGUUACAACUCAAAUGAAUUGACGGAA